rnacentral:rRNA from 1 species
GAUGAACGCUGGCGGCGUGCCUAAUACAUGUAAGUCGAGCGAACAGACGAGGAGCUUGCUCCUCUGACGUUAGCGGCGGACGGGUGAGUAACACGUGGAUAACCUACCUAUAAGACUGGGAUAGCUUCGGGAAACCGGAGCUAAUACCGGAUAAUAUAUUGAGCCGCAUGGUUCAAUAGUGAAAGACGGUUUUGCUGUCACUUAUAGAUGGAUCCGCGCCGCAUUAGCUAGUUGGUAAGGUAACGGCUUACCAAGGCAACGAUGCGUAGCCGACCUGAGAGGGUGAUCGGCCACACUGGAACUGAGACACGGUCCAGACUCCUACGGGAGGCAGCAGUAGGGAAUCUUCCGCAAUGGGCGAAAGCCUGACGGAGCAACGCCGCGUGAGUGAUGAAGGUCUUCGGAUCGUAAAACUCUGUUAUUAGGGAAGAACAAAUGUGUAAGUAACUAUGCACGUCUUGACGGUACCUAAUCAGAAAGCCACGGCUAACUACGUG